ACACAUGCAAGUCGAACGAAGCACUUUAUUUGAUUUCCUUCGGGACUGAUUAUUUUGUGACUGAGUGGCGGACGGGUGAGUAACGCGUGGGUAACCUGCCUUGUACAGGGGGAUAACAGUUGGAAACGGCUGCUAAUACCGCAUAAGCGCACAGCACCGCAUGAUGCAGUGUGAAAAACUCCGGUGGUAUAAGAUGGACCCGCGUUGGAUUAGCUAGUUGGCGAGGUAACGGCCCACCAAGGCGACGAUCCAUAGCCGACCUGAGAGGGUGACCGGCCACAUUGGGACUGAGACACGGCCCAAACUCCUACGGGAGGCAGCAGUGGGGAAUAUUGCACAAUGGGCGAAAGCCUGAUGCAGCGACGCCGCGUGAGCGAAGAAGUAUUUCGGUAUGUAAAGCUCUAUCAGCAGGGAAGAUAAUGACGGUACCUGACUAAGAAGCACCGGCUAAAUACGUGCCAGCAGCCGCGGUAAUACGUAUGGUGCAAGCGUUAUCCGGAUUUACUGGGUGUAAAGGGAGCGCAGGCGGUGCGGCAAGUCUGAUGUGAAAGCCCGGGGCUCAACCCCGGUACUGCAUUGGAAACUGUCGUACUAGAGUGUCGGAGGGGUAAGCGGAAUUCCUAGUGUAGCGGUGAAAUGCGUAGAUAUUAGGAGGAACACCAGUGGCGAAGGCGGCUUACUGGACGAUAACUGACGCUGAGGCUCGAAAGCGUGGGG
rnacentral:rRNA from 1 species